GCCGGCGUAGUGCAGUGGUCAGCACGUUUCGUUGUGGCCGAAGAAACCUUAGUUCAAAUCUGAGCGCCGGCA
rnacentral:tRNA from 1 species